rnacentral:misc_RNA from 1 species
UCUCCGUAGGUGAACCUGCGGAAGGAUCAUUACAGAGUUCAUGCCCUCACGGGUAGAUCUCCCACCCUUGAAUAUUUAUACCUUAGUUGCUUUGGCAGGCCGUGGAAACACCAUGGGCUCCGGCUUAUGCGUGCCUGCCAGAGGAAACAAACUCUGUUUUUAGUGAUGUCUGAGUACUAUAUGAUAGUUAAAACUUUCAACAACGGAUCUCUUGGUUCUG